GAGGAAUAUUGGUCAAUGGACGAGAGUCUGAACCAGCCAAGUAGCGUGCAGGAUGACGGCCCUCUGGGUUGUAAACUGCUUUUAGUUGGGAACAAAAAAGGCGACGUGUCGCCUCUGGAGUGUACCAUCAGAAAAAGGACCGGCUAAUUCCGUGCCAGCAGCCGCGGUAAUACGGAAGGUCCAGGCGUUAUCCGGAUUUAUUGGGUUUAAAGGGAGCGUAGGCGGACGAUUAAGUCAGCUGUGAAAGUUUGCGGCUCAACCGUAAAAUUGCAGUUGAAACUGGUUGUCUUGAGUGCACGCAGGGAUGUUGGAAUUCAUGGUGUAGCGGUGAAAUGCUUAGAUAUCAUGAAGAACUCCGAUCGCGAAGGCAUAUGUCCGGAGUGCAACUGACGCUGAGGCUCGAAAGUGCGGGUAUCGAACAGGAUUAGAUACCCUGGUAGUCCGCACAGUAAACGAUGAAUACUCGCAGUAUGCGAUAUAUUGUAUGCUGCCAAGUGAAAACGUUAAGUAUUCCACCUGGGGAGUACGCCGGCAACGGUG
rnacentral:rRNA from 1 species